rnacentral:lncRNA from 1 species
UCUGAUUUCCUAAUCAACCUAGGGUUUUAAUUUCUGUUUUCCUUUAAAUAAACCUCCUUGUUGCAGCCACAAAAGAUUCCACACACACCCAUUCACAUCCAUUCACGCCAGAAACCUUUCCCCUAACUUUGCGGUGCCCAAUCUUCACCCAAAUCCAUAUUUUCUGACCCCAAACCUCCCUAGCCGUGCCAUACACCCAUCUUAGACACUUUUCUACCAUUCUACCUCAUCCAAAACCAUCCCAAAUCAUCUCCAUACCUUAUGCCGCAGCAAGAAGGAAGAAGGAGUGCUCUUGAAUGUGCUUGCUAGUCUAUUGCAGAUUGCUGGAACUUUUAGGUGUAAUCUUUCUUAUGUUUUCAAUGUUUCAAUUCAAUAAACUUUGUGUUGUGAGUAUGAGGAACUAAACCCCCUUAGUUGGGGGGUGAUUCGAAACCAUGUGCAUGCUUGCAAUAUGAUUUGAUUACAUUCAGUUGUUAUUUCAUAAGUUGUGGAUUCAAUUCGUUCAUCUACUUG